rnacentral:rRNA from 1 species
GAUGAACGCUGGCGGCGUGCUUAACACAUGCAAGUCGAACGAGAAUCAACGGAUUGAGGAUUCGUCCAAAUGAAGUUGAGGAAAGUGGCGGACGGGUGAGUAACGCGUGAGGAACCUGCCUCGGAGUGGGGAAUAACAGUUGGAAACAGCUGCUAAUACCGCAUAAGCCCACGGCUCGGCAUCGAGCAGAGGGAAAAGGAGUGAUCCGCUUUGAGAUGGCCUCGCGUCCGAUUAGCUAGUUGGUGAGGUAACGGCCCACCAAGGCGACGAUCGGUAGCCGGACUGAGAGGUUGAACGGCCACAUUGGGACUGAGACACGGCCCAG